AGCUGGACAGUUGGUAGAGCGCUCCACUUGUAAUGGAGAGGUCCCGGGUUCGAUACCCGG
rnacentral:tRNA from 1 species